UCUAUUGCCUAUUUUUACAUUAUUUUCUUUCUUCUUAC
rnacentral:sRNA from 1 species